rnacentral:rRNA from 1 species
CACGUAGGGCGCAAGCGUUGUCCGGAAUUAUUGGGCGUAAAGAGCUCGUAGGCGGUUUGUCGCGUCGGAUGUGAAAACCUGGGGCUUAACUCCGGGCCUGCAUUCGAUACGGGCAGACUAGAGUUCGGUAGGGGAGACUGGAAUUCCUGGUGUAGCGGUGAAAUGCGCAGAUAUCAGGAGGAACACCGGUGGCGAAGGCGGGUCUCUGGGCCGAUACUGACGCUGAGGAGCGAAAGCGUGGGGAGCGAACAGG